ACCCAGGCUCAUGGCUCCAUGAAGCAAGAGGAGGAGGCAGAGCGCGAGAGGUCCGUCCGCCCCAGCCGCGUCUGGGCCAGGAGAAAAGCAAAACCAUAUUCCUGCUGCUGUCAGUUAUGAUGCACUGAGAAAACUUCAGAGACCUAAGCUUUUUCCAGAGAAGAGAAGCUUUACUGGUGUUCCAGCCCUAAGGCUCAUAUGACAUUAACAGACAAGACACUUUUCAGAAAGACAGACAGCUCUUCAAUCUUCAAGGGAACUGUGGAAGUAAACCAGGGGUGACAUGGAUUAUCAAAUAUUGUGGAUCAGAGUGGCUGUAUCAUUUUACUUUCCUACCAUCAGUAUUUGAGAAUUACAGUGUUCUAAAUCAUCACCAACACACAAGAUGAUGAGUAUUUUUAAUUGUAUUUAUUCUAGUAGGUGUGGAAUGGCAUCUCAUUUAAUUUGUAUUUCUCUAAUGGCUAAAGAUAUUGAACAUCUUUUGAUGUGAUUAUUUGCU
rnacentral:antisense_RNA from 1 species